rnacentral:rRNA from 1 species
ACGAACGCUGGCGGCGUGCUUAACACAUGCCAGUCGAACGGAAAGGCCCUGCUUGCAGGGUACUCGAGUGGCGAACGGGUGAGUAACACGUGGGUGAUCUGCCCUGCACUUCGGGAUAAGCCUGGGAAACUGGGUCUAAUACCGGAUAGGAGCCAUUUUUAGUGUGAUGGUUGGAAAGUUUUUUCGGUGUAGGAUGAGCUCGCGGCCUAUCAGCUUGUUGGUGGGGUAAUGGCCUACCAAGGCGGCGACGGGUAGCCGGCCUGAGAGGGUGGACGGCCACAUUGGGACUGAGAUACGGCCCAGACUCCUACGGGAGGCAGCAGUGGGGAAUAUUGCACAAUGGGCGCAAGCCUGAUGCAGCGACGCCGCGUGGGGGAUGACGGCCUUCGGGUUGUAAACUCCUUUCGCUAGGGAUGAAGCUUUUUGUGACGGUACCUAGAUAAGAAGCACCGGCUAACUACGUG